UCGAGAAUCUUCCGCAAUGGACGAAAGUCUGACGGAGCGACGCCGCGUGGUGGAUGAAGUAUUUCGGUAUGUAAACUUCGAAAGAAUAGGAAGAAUAAAUGACGGUACUAUUUAUAAGGUCCGGCUAACUACGUGCCAGCAGCCGCGGUAAUACGUAGGGACCAAGCGUUGUUCGGAUUUACUGGGCGUAAAGGGCGCGUAGGCGGCAAUUCAAGUCAUCUGUGAAAUCUCCGGGCUUAACUCGGAACGGUCAGAUGAUACUGCUUUGCUAGAGUGCAGAAGGGGCAAUCGGAAUUCUUGGUGUAGCGGUGAAAUGCGUAGAUAUCAAGAGGAACACCUGAGGUGAAGACGGGUUGCUGGGCUGACACUGACGCUGAGGCGCGAAAGCCAGGGGAGCAAACGGGAUUAGAUACCCUCGUAGUCCCUGAGCGGGCUGGCAAGGCGCAU
rnacentral:rRNA from 1 species